GGUGACCAUUACCAGCUUUGAAAAUUUCUUUGCCAAGCAUGAGCACCACGAGAAGACCAUAAUUGACAUCGGGGUCUUAAGGUACCCUGAUAUGCAAAACCCGUACUUCAAGGUGUACCGCAUCAAACUCUUUGUUUGGUCUGAUAGCAACCGUAUUGUGUUCCAUCAGGAGGAUUCCAAUGGCAUCAUUGGAGAGUUCACCUUCCGUAAGUUUAAGCCGCGCAAGGAGCUCAUUGACAAGAUGAACCCAGACGCCAAAAAGAAGGCUGUGGAAGCUGCAGAUAACAUCUUUGGUUUCUAAUAUCUAAAU